AGGACUAACGCUGGCGGCGUGCCUAACACAUGCAAGUCGAACGAGAGUAGCAAUACUCUAGUGGCAGACGGGUGAGUAACACGUGGUCAACCUUCCCUAGCGUGGGGGAUAACUAGCCGAAAGGUUAGCUAAUACCGCAUGACAUCGUCGAGUGGCAUCAUUUGACGAUCAAAGGAGCAAUCCGCGCAAGGACGGGACCGCGUCCCAUUAGCUAGUUGGUGAGGUAACGGCCCACCAAGGCUUCGAUGGGUGGCUGGUUUGAGAGAGCGACCAGCCACACUGGGACUGAGACACGGCCCAGACUCCUACGGGAGGCAGCAGUGAGGAAUUUUCCGCAAUGGGCGAAAGCCUGACGGAGCGACGUCGCGUGUGGGAAGAAGGCCUUCGGGUCGUAAACCACUGUCGAAGGGGAAGAUAUUGACGGUACCCUUGGAGGAAGCCCCGGCUAACGUACGCGCCAGCAGCCGC
rnacentral:rRNA from 1 species